CCUACGGGUGGCAGCAGUGAGGAAUAUUGGUCAAUGGGCGGAAGCCUGAACCAGCCAAGUAGCGUGCAGGAUGACGGCCCUACGGGUUGUAAACUGCUUUUAUACGGGAAUAACGCGCCUUACGUGUAGGGCUUUGCAUGUACCGUAUGAAUAAGGACCGGCUAAUUCCGUGCCAGCAGCCGCGGUAAUACGGAAGGUCCGGGCGUUAUCCGGCUUUAUUGGGUUUAAAGGGAGCGUAGGCCGCAGGUCAAGCGUGCUGUGAAAUGUCCGGGCUCAACCCGGGCCUUGCCGCGCGAUCUGGGGGGCUGGAGUACGGGAAAGGCGGGCGGACUGCGUGGUGUGGCGGUGAAAUGCUUAGA
rnacentral:rRNA from 1 species